UACGUAGGUGGCAAGCGUUGUCCGGAAUUAUUGGGCGUAAAGCGCGCGCAGGCGGUCCUUUAAGUCUGAUGUGAAAGCCCACGGCUCAACCGUGGAGGGUCAUUGGAAACUGGGGGACUUGAGUACAGAAGAGGAAAGCGGAAUUCCACGUGUAGCGGUGAAAUGCGUAGAGAUGUGGAGGAACACCAGUGGCGAAGGCGGCUUUCUGGUCCGAUACUGACGCUGAGGUGCGAAAGCGUGGGGAGCGAUCCGG
rnacentral:rRNA from 1 species